CACAGAUCUGUGGGGACACGUGCAGAGAGCGGAAGCCGGGAAUGGGAUCCCGGUGCAAGCGAGGUACCAGCCGCAUUGGAAAAACCGUGCGGCAAUGGGAAGACGUGAUGCGGAGUGAAGUUUAGUAAUGAAGUCCGUGAGCUGUGCGUCAAGAAAAGCCGCUAUUGUUCAUACCAUACCCGUACCGUAAACCGACACAGGUGGAUGAGGAGAGAAUCCUAAGGCCGGCGGAAGAAGCAUUGUCAAGGAACUCGGCAAAGUGACCCCGUAACUUCGGGAGAAGGGGUGCCUGCGAGAGCAGGCCGCAGAGAAUAGGCUCAAGCAACUGUUUAGCAAAAACACAGGUCUAUGCGAAACCGAAUGGUGAGGUAUAUGGGCUGACGCCUGCCCGGUGCUGGAAGGUUAAGAGGAGAGGUUAGCGGUAACGCGAAGCUUUGAAUUUAAGCCCCAGUAAACGGCGGCCGUAACGAUAACGGUCCUAAGGUAGCGAAAUUCCUUGUCGGGUAAGUUCCGACCCGCACGAAAGGCGUAAUGAUUUGAGCGCUGUCUCGACAAUGCAUCCGGUGAAAUUGAAGUACCAGUGAAGAUGCUGGUUACCUGCGCCAGGACGGAAAGACCCCAUGGAGCUUUACUCCAGUUUGGUACUGGGAUCCGGUACUGCAUGUACAGGAUAGGUGGGAGGCUAUGAAUCGGUAACGCCAGUUGCCGAGGAGCCGCUGUUGGGAUACCACCCUUGCAGUAUUGGGUUUCUAACCAGCCGCCGUGACCCGGCGGUGGGACAAUGCCAGACGGGGAGUUUGACUGGGGCGGUCGCCUCCGAAAGGGUAUCGGAGGCGCCCAAAGGUUCCCUCAGGAUGGACGGAAACCAUCCAAAGAGUGCAAAGGCAGAAGGGAGCUUGACUGCGACACCGACGGGUGGAGCAGGUACGAAAGUAGGGCUUAGUGAUCCGGUGGUAUUAAGUGGGAAUGCCAUCGCUCAACGGAUGAAAGCUACCCUGGGAUAACAGGCUUAUCACUCCCAAGAGUUCACAUCGACGGAGUGGUUUGGCACCUCGAUGUCGGCUCAUCGCAUCCUGGGGCUGUAGUAGGUCCCAAGGGUUGGGCUGUUCGCCCAUUAAAGCGGUACGCGAGCUGGGUUCAGAACGUCGCGAGACAGUUCGGUCCCUAUCCGGCGUGGGCGUAGGAUAUCUGAGAGGAGCUGUCCUUAGUACGAGAGGACCGGGAUGGACGGGCCGCUGGUGCACCGGUUAGACUGCCAAGUCUAUAGCCGGGUAGCCAAGCCCGGAAGGGAUAAACGCUGAAGGCAUCUAAGCGUGUAGCCCCCCUCAAGAUGAGAUAUCCCAUCCGAAAGGAGUAAACCCCCUUGAAGACGACGAGGUUGAUAGGGCAGAGGUGGAAGUGUGGUAACACAUGGAGCUGACUGCUACUAAUAGGGUGAGGGCUUGACC
rnacentral:rRNA from 1 species